rnacentral:rRNA from 1 species
GUGCCAGCCGCCGCGGUAAUACGUAGGGGGCAAGCGUUGUCCGGAAUCAUUGGGCGUAAAGGGCGCGUAGGCGGUCAUUUAAGUCAGUGGUGAAAACCCAGGGCUCAACCCUGGGAAUGCCAUUGAAACUGGGUGACUUGAGUGCAGGAGAGGUAAGUGGAAUUCCCAGUGUAGCGGUGAAAUGCGUAGAUAUUGGGAGGAACACCAGUGGCGAAGGCGACUUACUGGACUGUGUCUGACGCUGAGGCGCGAAAGCUAGGGGAGAGAACAGGAUUAGAUACCCUGGUAUUCCUAGCUGUAAACGAUGGGUACUAGGUGUGGGGGGUAUCGACCCCUUCCGUGCCGGAGUUAACGCAAUAAGUACCCCGCCUGGGGAGUACGGCCGCAAGGUUGAAACUCAAAGGAAUUGACGG